rnacentral:rRNA from 1 species
AUUGAACGCUGGCGGCAGGCCUAACACAUGCAAGUCGAACGAGUGGCGGACGGGUGAGUAAUGUAUGGGAACGUGCCUGAUGGUGGGGGAUAACUAAUGGAAACGGUAGCUAAUACCGCAUACCAUCGGAUGUGCCCAGAUGGGAUUGGCUAGUGGGUGGGGUAAAGGCUUACCAAGGCGACGAUCCGUAGCUGGUCUGAGAGGAUGACAAGACACACUGGAACUGAGACACGGUCCAGACUCCUACGGGAGGCAGCAGUGGGGAAUAUUGCACAAUGGGCGCAAGCCUGAUGCAGCCAUGCCGCGUGUAUGAAGAAGGCCUUCGGGUUGUAAAGGACUUUCAGCGGGGAGGCGGUACCCACAGAAGAAGCACCGGCUAACUCCGUGCCAGCAGCCGCGGUAAUAC